ensembl:misc_RNA Metazoa_SRP Metazoan signal recognition particle RNA
GCCGGGCAUGCCUGUAGUCCCAGCUACUUGGGAGGCUGAGACAGGAGAGUUCUGGGCUGUAGUGCGCUAUGCCGAUCGGGUGUCCACACUAAGUUCAGCAUCAAUAUAGUGACCUCCUGGGAGUGGGAGGUCACCAGGUUGCCUAAGGAGGGAUGAACCGGCCCAGGUUGGAAACGGAGCAGGUCAAAGUAUGUAGAUUUAAGCAGGAGGGUAUUAUAUGUGGCUUCUCCUUCAAUGAAGCUAUUAAU